GAUGAACGCUGGCGGCGUGCUUAACACAUGCAAGUCGAACGGUGAACGAGGGAGCUUGCUCCCUCCGGAUCAGUGGCGAACGGGUGAGUAACACGUGAGCAAUCUGCCCCGAACUCUGGGAUAAGCGCUGGAAACGGCGUCUAAUACCGGAUACGACACGCGAAGGCAUCUUCUGCGCGUGGAAAGAAUUUCGGUUCGGGAUGAGCUCGCGGCCUAUCAGCUAGUUGGUGAGGUAACGGCUCACCAAGGCGACGACGGGUAGCCGGCCUGAGAGGGUGACCGGCCAGACUGGGACUGAGACACGGCCCAGACUCCUACGGGAGGCAGCAGUGGGGAAUAUUGCACAAUGGGCGCAAGCCUGAUGCAGCAACGCCGCGUGAGGGACGACGGCCUUCGGGUUGUAAACCUCUUUUAGUAGGGAAGAAGCGAAAGUGACGGUACCUGCAGAAAAAGCACCGGCUAACUACGUGCCAGCAGCCGCCGUAAAAC
rnacentral:rRNA from 1 species